rnacentral:lncRNA from 1 species
AAAUUAGGGUUAAUUUUGUAUAGGUCCUUACAAAAGUCUUGAUGUUUUCAAAUAUAUUCCCGUCUUUAGAAUCCGUUAAAAAAAUUUAGUUAACCAUAAAUUAAAUACUUUAAUCCUUGUUAUGUUUGACAUUUUUUAUUUCCUUAUGUUAUAUUGUUAAUACUUUUUUAGAGAUAUAUUGUGAUGGCAAAAUUGAAAAUAUAAAUAGUUUUUUAAUGGUUCUCUAACGAUAACAAAUCAGUGGAAUAUAUUUGAAAACAUCAGGGCUUUUGUAAGGACAAAAUAUGAAAAUUAAACUUUUUAGGGAUAUAUUUGUCAUUUACUAUGUUUGCAGACCUAUAUGAUUAACCUUUAAAAUUAUUAUGUUAAAAAAAAUAAUUUAAGUAAAUAAUUGGGCUUACAUGGGCCCUUAAUUAACUUCUUUAAUAAAUAGCUGAUUGAGUCAUGACCCAUUCACUAAAUGGAUCUGACUUGGAUUUGACCCAUAUGUCCCUAUUAUUUUUAUUUCAGGGAUAAUAUCUAAAAAAUAUUCAAUACCUCAAAAAUAUCUUAUUUACUACUGAAGUACCAAAAUAUUCUGUUGUUUUUAAAAAAUCUAUUUAAAUAUCCCUAUUUUUCCUUGCAUUUACUAAUGGGUUGAAUUUUAGAGUCAUAUUUUAGUAAUUUGAGAAUAAAUUUGAAAAUUUUGAAUAGUAGUAGUAACGGGUAAAUAAGCAAAAGCCCUAAUUUUUUUCAUUUGGAGGAGCAAAUUUUGUAUAGUAGUAACGAUGCACCUCUAGAGUCGUGCAUCAUGUACCUAUCGAACUUUGGUCUCAUAUCUCAUAUUUAAAAUCUAGCAUAAAAAUCAAUAUAAGUCGCAACAUUUUUAACAUUUAAAAGUUGGACAAUUAGACUAUCAGAAUAGAAGUACGAGAUGGAUGGAGGGCUGAUGAAUUCAUGUGAGCCAAACUCAAUGGCUUGGCUUGGGUUGUCAACGAGCCAAACACGAGUGUUCGUUAAGAUUUCGAGAUGAAAAAUUCAGCUCGUCUAUUAAACGAGCGAUCGAUCUCGAGCUCAUUUUGAGCUGAGCACGAGACUGCCUCACAAACAGCAAGCUGGAUUCCAGCCUAGCUAAGCCUAUAUCUAUCUCUCUCUCUCUCUCUCUCUCUAAUAAUUCUCUCUUUAGAUUAUCCUCUAUUUAGCUCUCUCUCUCUCUCUCUCUCUACUAAAGUUUAGGCCAAAAUUUGAAAUUGUUAAAAAAAAAAGAAGAAGCUCUUCUUUCAAGGCCCAGUUAAUGGCGAUCAUCAAGCCCUAAAGCCAUCACAAGAAUCACUGACAUUUAUAUUAAUUAAUGUAGUUUGUUAAUCAAACCAUUAAGCUACAUACUUCAAAUUUGCAUAGCUAUUUCUUUAUGUUAUAAUACAUUAAAUAUAAAUUAUGGACAAGAAAUCAUGCAGUUUACAUACAUACAUACAUACAUACUAACAUAUAUGGGAAACUUUAAAAACACUCAUGUGGUUUCACACUUUCUCACUUGAGUGCAUAGUUAGUUAAUUCGGAUUGCGGCCAAAAUUCGGUAUGGUAUAAUUUGAAUAAAAUUUAUCUACUAAUUUUUAAAUUUAUUAAAAAAUACGGCUAAAAAAUGGAUUCGCCAAUUAUUCGGAUACGUAAUUUAUACAGAUAUUAUACGUUUACCAAUUAAAAAUUCGGAUCAAAAAUUCGGCUAUUAAAUUAAGUUUUUUCUCUCAAAAUUUAUGCUAUUGGCAUAAAUAUUUAUAUUUCUUAAGAAUAUAAGAAAAAGAACUACAAAAUUAAGCUAAUUACGUAAAAAAAAUAGCAAACUAUAUUAGCCUCAAAUAAAUAAUAAAUUAAAUAAAUAGAGAUUAAAAUAAAAAUAAGAGAUUAAAUUUUUUUUGAUCGAGUGAUUUUUUUUUGGAGGAGGAGAAGAGGCGAUCGUUUAGAAAGGAUUUUUUUUUUUUUUUUUUUUUUUUUUUUUUUUUUUUUUUUUUUUUUUUUUUUUUUUUUUGCGUGAGAGUUUAAUUUGGAUUUUGGAAAGCAUUUUUUUUUUAAUUUUUCUUUGUUUUGGGCGAGCCGAGCCGCAAGGCGCGGGCCAGGGCGCUGGCGCGGGCGCGGUCACGAGCACGGGCUGGCUGUUUUUUUGGGCGAAUUAUUCGCGAAUCGCGAAUAGUUCACGAAUAAUUAUUUUUUCCCAAAAAAACACGUUUUUUUCCGAAUUUUUCGGAAAAAUACUUAUUCGGCCGUUUAAUUCGUUUUCUCAAAAAUUUGCGAAUAACUCGCGAAUAAUUCGCAAAUUUACUAACAGAGCUUGAGUGUUCUGUGGUUUAAAGUGUAUCAAUUUGAUGCCCUGUGGUUUCAUUUUUAUCUUUUCGGUAGCUUUUUCGUUAAUAUUUCGUUAAAUUAUACACAAAAAACUUCAGAUAUCCACAUAGGUUUAUCAAAUAUUCACUUUAGCAUUUUUUAAUUUUGACUUUGUCACUAAUUUAAGAAAAAAAAUAGUGAAAUUCAUAAUAAAAGAGAAAUAUGAAACCACAGGGCACUAAAUUGAUACACAUUAAACCACAGGGCAUUAAAGUGAGAAAGUACGAAACCACAGGGGUGGUUUUUGAAGUUUUCCAUAUAUAUAUAUAUAGUCCGGUUACUAUACUCUUAUGAGUACGAUCGCCUUCGUACUCAAAGUUAUUUUCGAUGAUAGAGCUUCCGAAUUGACGAUCCAUACCGUUAAACAUUAUCUAGAACAUUUAAAACUUCUAGAAAUCAAAUUUUAUAAUUUUUCAAUAUCAUUUACCUUACGAUCAAAAGCUCACAAAAUUGAUAAUUUUUAACGGCCGGUAUGAGAUAUUUGUUAGUUUAACGGUGAAAAAGAAUCGGAAUAGGUUGAAUAUUUGAUAGAAAAUUCUAUUCACUACCUAAAUAAAGAUCAAUAACUCUGAUUUUAACUUGAAGGAUCCAAUCAUCCUUUUUUAGGAUGUCGUUCGAUUUUAACCGUUCAUUUUAUACCCACUUGAUGGACUUUAUAAUGAUUUCAAAAAAUUACGAAAUUUAUUUUCUAGAAGUUUCAAAUACUCUAGAUCAUGUUUAACGGUGUGGAUCGUCGAUUUGAAAAAUCCAACCUCGAAAACAACUUAUGAGUACGAAGAACUAUAUACGCAUAAGAGUAUAGUAGCCCUACUAUAUAUAUAUAUAUAGGGCUUUUUUUGCAAAUAGCCCCCUGACAAAUUUUAUUUGCAAAAUUGGCCCUGUGUAAAAUUUAUUUGCAAAAUUGGCCCUGGCCCUGCCACGCCAGCGCCACGUCAGCGCCAUGUGGGCAGGGCCUGGGCCAUGUACGCAAGUUGAACACGGUGAUUGGUUCACCGUGUCUAAACACGGUGAACCAAUAACCGUGNCUCUCUCUCUCUCUCUCUCUCUCUCUCUCUCUCUAUAUAUAUAUAUAUAUAUAGAGCUUGGCUCCUAUACUUUCGAAAGUACGGAGGCCUCCGUACUUGUAAGUUGUUUUCGAUGAUGGGACAUCCGAUUCAGCGAUCAGUUCCGUUAGACAUGAUCUAUGCUAUUGGAACUAUCUAGAAACCAAAUUUCAUAAUUUUUUGACUUCGUUUGCCUAGUGAACGAGUAGUCUCAAAAUGAACGGCUGAAAAUAAAAAUCUUAUAAAAAAUAGUAAUAAAAGACUCAAAUUUCAAAUCGGAAGUAUUAUUCUUGCUCUUGAUAUUAAGUAGAAUUUUCUAUUAAAGUUUCAUGUAAUUUGGAUACUUCUACACCGUUGAACUUAAAAACGUGCCACAUCGGCCGUUAAAAUAGUCAUUUUUGAGAUCCUUUGAUCGCUUGGUAAAUGAUGUUGAAAAAUUAUGAAAUUUGGUUUCUAGAUAGUUCUAAUAGAGUAAAUUAUGCCUAAUGGAGCCGAUCGUCGAAUCGGAUGUCCUAUUAUCGAAAACAACUUACAAGUACGAAAGCCUCCGUACUUUCGAAAGUACGUGAGACCUACUAUAUAUAUAUGUAGAGUUGAGCUAGAAUACUCUCAAAAGCACGAAAGUGUUGGUGCUUUUGAAUUUUUAACCCUUGGAUGGAGAGAUGUAGGGUUAAGAUGAUGGUAGCAAGUGGUGGUAGGUGGUGGUUCGUGGAAUAGUGUUUGAUCCAAAGGCUAUUAGUAAUCAAAAAGUAAAUCCAACGGCUAAAAACUUAGAAGAGGUUGGUGUUUCUAAAAGUAUUCUAGCUCAAUUAUAUAUAUAUAUAUAUAUAUAUAUAUAUAACCAAAUUAUAUAUGCAUGAUUUCUUGGAUUUUUUUUUUUUUGGUCCUUCUUGCAAUGUGCUAGUUAGAUAUAUCCAUGUCUUAAUGUUCUUACAAAACAAUAAAUAAAUUGAUUAAAGGUGAAAAACAAAAGGGAAACCUUUUCUCCUGUUUAUGUUCUCUCUCUUUUUUUUGAACAAAUAACAAUUUUUUUAGCACCAGAUCAUUGUAAGCCAUUCUCUCUUUGCAAAGCUCGAACCUUACUGCAAUAAACGUACAUCAAGAAAUUUGAUUAUAAUAAGCAUUCGCACUACAACAAAAACGGUCUAUAGCGGCACUUUUAAAUGUAGGUACAUGUCAAAAAAGUGCUGCUAGUUAAAAUUAUCAACACUUUUAAAAAGUGUUGCUAUAUGUGGGGUCGCUAGGUAUAUAGUGACAGUUAAAUAGUGUCGCUAUAUAUAACCUAAAAGAGUGCUGCUAAUUUACCAACACUUAUUUAAGCAUUUAGCAACCGCCGAAACUCUAUCUCGUUGGCUGCGGUGGCAGAGGAGGACGACAGGAAAUGCUCUUCGUCUAGAAUUUCAGUGGAUUGAGUGAAGAGAGAAGAAAAGAUGGUAAUUGAUUUUUCUUUUUUUUUUUCUUUUCUGUUUGUAAUCGGGCCAAAUAGACUGCGUGUGGUGGGUUGAGUAGAAUAAUCUUUUAUUUUUAGAUGGAUUGGGCUUUAUAUUUAAGCAUUAGUAGAUAUUUUUUUAAGUUUUAGCAUAAAUGGGACACUUAUUCAAAAGUGUCCCAAACAUGUGUCCCUAUAAUCUAAUUCUGUUGUAGUGUCGAUCCCAUGAGGAAUAGUUUAUAAGCGGUUAAUUAAUUAGUAGUUGAUUAGUUAGUAAAACUCAUGAUAUAUUGUAAGAGACAAUUAAUCUAUCUAAUAUUAUGAAUUAAUGGACUCAACAUGGCCUAUACUUUUCUAAACAAUUGAAAUGUAAGGAUUCUUCAAGUGUAAUUAAUCUCACAAAUCAUCAUCAAUACUCACUUAACCAUAUUUGUUCGCUGACGAAAGUCGAAGGAACCCUCAUUUCCUCCGUAAAAUGAUCGAAUAUGGCGAUCGAGAACAACGUCGCACUUGGUUCGCACUACUACUUGAUACAAUUGUAUGAUACAAAAGAAUCACUACUUUUCUCAUUUUGAGAAGAAAAGAAUUGCUUUUCUUCUUCUUCUUUUUCCCAAUUUUUCUCUUAUUCUUUGUUUAGUUACUUUAUUAAAAGUCGAAUCAAUUUUCGCAUAUGAUCAUAUAUAUCCACUCGUGUGUACUUAUCAUAAACCAUUACUAACGUCGCGUUCAAAUUCAUUUGUGUUUAUGAGAUCCUAUACAGAUGGAUUAAGCAUUUCAUCGCAGUUUAUUUUCGGAAUAACAUUAGGUUUCGAUUGAGCAUAUUCGUUUCGAGUAUAAUACUAUCACAAGUGUUUAGUACAUUUAUAGAAGGUGUAUGUUGAUAAAAAUAUUAAUCAAUUUUAUAGAAUCCUAUAAUUUUGAUUAUAGUAUAUAUUUUAGUAUCAAUUUUCUUGAAUAAUUAAAAAUAAUUAAAAAUAAUUAAAAACAGGCAAACUGCAAAAAAGAAAAAAAAGGAAAAACAAUACAAAAGAGAUAGCUAGUACAUAUUUGAGUAGUGCUUCUAUACUUGUUAUAUUUUUUAUACUGUUCAUUCAUUUCUAUUCAAUGAUUCAGAUUCAAUUUUUUAAAAAUUAUGAUCUACAAUAGUAUGUCAUUUUGAGAGAGGUACCAAUUACAAGGUACACCAAAAAGAGAUAUUUCGGUUUUUUAAUAAGUGGGUAAUUUAGUAAUUUUACCUCCACUAUAUUAUCAAAUUUUCCUUCUCUCUUUGUUUUCUUUUUUUCUCUCUAUCUUUCCUCUUCAUCCACAGUAAAGAUGUAAAGGGGUCGGAUUCAGGGCAAAUUUUCAAAAAUCCGAACCCGAAUUCAACUAUCAAACCCAAAACCUAAAUCCAAAAUCCAAAUCCGACGAAUUUAAAAAAAUCAUAUCUACACAUGAACUCGACUUAAAAUCCGAAACCCGAACCCUACCCCGAACCCGAAACAUUAAUCCUCUUUACAAUAUUUCAAAAUAUAUUCCUAAUCAAUUACCCACAUUCAAAAUUUUUUUUUAAUAGUGAUACACAAUUAAUGUCUAAAU